rnacentral:rRNA from 1 species
AUUGAACGCUGGCGGCAGGCCUAACACAUGCAAGUCGAGCGAGGGGCGCACGGGUGAGUAAUGUGUGGGAAUCUGCCAGAGGGAGGGGGAUAACUACUGGAAACGGUCGCUAAUCCCGCAUACCAUCAGAUGUACCCAUGGGGGUUUAGCUUGUAGGUGGGGUAACGGCUCACCUAGGCGACGAUCCCUAGCUGGUCUGAGAGGAUGACCAGCCACACUGGAACUGAGACACGGUCCAGACUCAUACGUGAGGCAGCAGUGGGGAAUAUUGCACAAUGGGCGCAAGCCUGAUGCAGCCAUGCCGCGUGUAUGAAGAAGGCCUUCGGGUUGUAAAGUACUUUCAGCGGGGAGGCGUUACCCGCAGAAGAAGCACCGGCUAACUCCGUGCCAGCAGCCGCGGUAAUAC